GUAGUCAUAUGCUUGUCUCAAAGAUUAAGCCAUGCAUGUCUAAGUACAUGCCGAAACCAAGGCGAAACCGCGAAUGGCUCAUUAAAUCAGUUAUGGUUCCUUAGAUUGUUUCAUGCUACUUGGAUAACUGUGGCAAUUCUAGAGCUAAUACAUGCGUUGAACUCUGGCGUCUUCGGACAGAAGAGUGCUUUUAUUAGACCAAGAUCAUACGGGUGUCAAAACCCGUGGUGUGUGGUGACUCUGGAUAACUUUCGCUGAUCGCACGGCUACGGCCGGCGACGCUUCUUUCAAGUGUCUGCCUUAUCAACUGUCGAUGGUAGGUUAUGCGCCUACCAUGGUUGUCACGGGUAACGGAGAAUCAGGGUUCGGUUCCGGAGAGGGAGCCUGAGAAAUGGCUACCACAUCCAAGGAAGGCAGCAGGCGCGCAAAUUACCCACUCCCAGCACGGGGAGGUAGUGACGAAAAAUAACAAUACGGGACUCUUUUGAGGCCCCGUAAUUGAAAUGAGUACACUCUAAAUCCUUUAACGAGGAUCAAUUGGAGGGCAAGUCUGGUGCCAGCAGCCGCGGUAAUUCCAGCUCCAAUAGCGUAUGCUAAAGUUGCUGCGGUUAAAAAGCUCGUAGUUGGAUCCCAGUUAGCAGACAGGAAGGGCAUCUACACGAUGCGAAGUCCUGCACUGGACCUCAUACCUACUGUUCCUUGGUGCCCUUCAUUGGGUGCCUUGGGGUGGUGGGAGCAUUUACUUUGAAAAAAUUAAGAAUGUGCGUUCCAAAGCAAGGCCUUUGCCCGAAUACCUUAGCAUGGAAUAAUAGAAUAGGACGUCGGUCCGCUGUUGGUCUUUGGAAACGAGGUAAUGAUUAAGAGGGACAGACGGGGGCAUUCGUAUUGCGGCGCUAGAGGUGAAAUUCUUGGACCGUCGCAAGACGAACUACUGCGAAAGCAUUUGCCAAGAAUGUUUUCAUUGAUCAAGAACGAAAGUUAGAGGUUCGAAGGCGAUCAGAUACCGCCCUAGUUCUAACCAUAAACUAUGCCAACCAGGAAUCCGCCUGAGUUACUCAAAUGACUCGGCGGGCACUUCCGGGAAACCAAAGUAUUUGGGUUCCGGGGGAAGUAUGGUUGCAAAGCUGAAACUUAAAGGAAUUGACGGAAGGGCACCACCAGGAGUGGAGCUGCGGCUUAAUUUGACUCAACACGGGAAAACUUACCUGGUCCGGACACUGGGAGGAUUGACAGAUUGAGAGCUCUUUCUUGAUUCGGUGGAUGGUGGUGCAUGGCCGUUCUUAGUUGGUGGAGCGAUUUGUCUGGUUAAUUCCGAUAACGAACGAGACUCCAGCCUACUAAAUAGGUGCGAGGUUCUCCGCACCUUUCACCCUUCUUAGAGGGACAAGCGGCUCCUAGCCGCACGAAACGGAGCAAUAACAGGUCUGUGAUGCCCUUAGAUGUCCAGGGCCGCACGCGCGCUACACUGAAGGAAGAAGCGUGUGCUUUCCCUGUCUGCAAAGACUGGGUAACCCAAUGAAUCUCCUUCGUGAUUGGGAUAGGGGAUUGCAAUUAUUCCCCUUGAACGAGGAAUUCCCAGUAAGCGCGAGUCAUAAGCUCGCGCUGAUUACGUCCCUGCCCUUUGUACACACCGCCCGUCGCUACUACCGAUUGGAUGAUUUAGUGAGGUCUUCAGACCGGUACCCGUAGCGACCGUACCGGUUGCGCCGGAGUGCUGGCAAGAUGACCGAACUUGAUCAUUUAGAGGAAGUAAAAGUCGUAACAAGGUUUCCGUAGGUGAACCUGCGGA
rnacentral:rRNA from 2 species